UUAAAUUGAAGAGUUUGAUCAUGGCUCAGAUUGAACGCUGGCGGCAGGCCUAACACAUGCAAGUCGAACGGUAACAGGAAGCAGCUUGCUGCUUUGCUGACGAGUGGCGGACGGGUGAGUAAUGUCUGGGAAACUGCCUGAUGGAGGGGGAUAACUACUGGAAACGGUGGCUAAUACCGCAUAACGUCGCAAGACCAAAGAGGGGGACCUUCGGGCCUCUUGCCAUCAGAUGUGCCCAGAUGGGAUUAGCUUGUUGGUGAGGUAACGGCUCACCAAGGCGACGAUCCCUAGCUGGUCUGAGAGGAUGACCAGCCACACUGGAACUGAGACACGGUCCAGACUCCUACGGGAGGCAGCAGUGGGGAAUAUUGCACAAUGGGCGCAAGCCUGAUGCAGCCAUGCCGCGUGUAUGAAGAAGGCCUUCGGGUUGUAAAGUACUUUCAGCGGGGAGGAAGGUGUUGUGGUUAAUAACCGCAGCAAUUGACGUUACCCGCAGAAGAAGCACCGGCUAACUCCGUGCCAGCAGCCGCGGUAAUACGGAGGGUGCAAGCGUUAAUCGGAAUUACUGGGCGUAAAGCGCACGCAGGCGGUCUGUCAAGUCGGAUGUGAAAUCCCCGGGCUCAACCUGGGAACUGCAUUCGAAACUGGCAGGCUUGAGUCUUGUAGAGGGGGGUAGAAUUCCAGGUGUAGCGGUGAAAUGCGUAGAGAUCUGGAGGAAUACCGGUGGCGAAGGCGGCCCCCUGGACAAAGACUGACGCUCAGGUGCGAAAGCGUGGGGAGCAAACAGGAUUAGAUACCCUGGUAGUCCACGCCGUAAACGAUGUCUACUUGGAGGUUGUGCCCUUGAGGCGUGGCUUCCGGAGCUAACGCGUUAAGUAGACCGCCUGGGGAGUACGGCCGCAAGGUUAAAACUCAAAUGAAUUGACGGGGGCCCGCACAAGCGGUGGAGCAUGUGGUUUAAUUCGAUGCAACGCGAAGAACCUUACCUGGUCUUGACAUCCACGGAAGUUUUCAGAGAUGAGAAUGUGCCUUCGGGAACCGUGAGACAGGUGCUGCAUGGCUGUCGUCAGCUCGUGUUGUGAAAUGUUGGGUUAAGUCCCGCAACGAGCGCAACCCUUAUCCUUUGUUGCCAGCGGUCCGGCCGGGAACUCAAAGGAGACUGCCAGUGAUAAACUGGAGGAAGGUGGGGAUGACGUCAAGUCAUCAUGGCCCUUACGACCAGGGCUACACACGUGCUACAAUGGCGCAUACAAAGAGAAGCGACCUCGCGAGAGCAAGCGGACCUCAUAAAGUGCGUCGUAGUCCGGAUUGGAGUCUGCAACUCGACUCCAUGAAGUCGGAAUCGCUAGUAAUCGUGGAUCAGAAUGCCACGGUGAAUACGUUCCCGGGCCUUGUACACACCGCCCGUCACACCAUGGGAGUGGGUUGCAAAAGAAGUAGGUAGCUUAACCUUCGGGAGGGCGCUUACCACUUUGUGAUUCAUGACUGGGGUGAAGUCGUAACAAGGUAACCGUAGGGGAACCUGCGGUUGGAUCACCUCCUUACCUGAAAGAA
rnacentral:rRNA from 2 species